rnacentral:rRNA from 1 species
UACGGGGGGAGCAAGCGUUGUUCGGAUUUACUGGGCGUAAAGGGCGCGUAGGCGGCCAGCACAAGUCAGUUGUGAAAUCUCCGAGCUUAACUCGGAAAGGUCAACUGAUACUGUGCGGCUAGAGUGCGGAAGGGGCAACUGGAAUUCUCGGUGUAGCGGUGAAAUGCGUAAAUAUCGAGAGGAACACCUGCGGCGAAGGCGGGUUGCUGGGCUGACACUGACGCUGAUGCGCGAAAGCUAGGGGAGCGAACGGG